GACGAACGCUGGCGGCGUGCUUAACACAUGCAAGUCGAGCGGAAAGGCCACUUCGGUGGUACUCGAGCGGCGAACGGGUGAGUAACACGUGAGUAAUCUGCCCCUGGCUUUGGGAUAGCCACCGGAAACGGUGAUUAAUACCGGAUACGACCACUUCUCGCAUGGGAUGGUGGUGGAAAGUUUUUUCGGCCAGGGAUGUGCUCGCGGCCUAUCAGCUUGAUGGUGAGGUAAUGGCUCACCAUGGCUUCGACGGGUAGCCGGCCUGGGCGGGUGACCGGUCACACUGGGACUGAGACACUGCCCAGACUCCUACGGGAGGCAGCAGUGGGGAAUAUUGGACAAUGGGCGGAAGCCUGAUCCAGCAACGCCGCGUGAGGGAUGACGGCCUUCGGGUUGUAAACCUCUUUCAGCAGGGACGAAGCGCAAGUGACGGUACCUGCAGAAGAAGCACCGGCCAACUACGUGCCAGCCGCCGCAGUAA
rnacentral:rRNA from 1 species